GAUUGAACGCUGGCGGCAUGCUUUCACAUGCAAGUCGGACGGCAGCAUAGAAGAGCUUGCUCUUUUGAUGGCGAGUGGCGAACGGGUGAGUAAUGCAUCGGAACGUACCGAGUAGUGGGGGAUAACUGUCCGAAAGGAUGGCUAAUACCGCAUAUUCUCUGAGGAGGAAAGCAGGGGACCUUAGGGCCUUGCGCUAUUUGAGCGGCCGAUGUCUGAUUAGCUAGUUGGUGGGGUAAGAGCCCACCAAGGCGACGAUCAGUAGCGGGUCUGAGAGGAUGAUCCGCCACACUGGGACUGAGACACGGCCCAGACUCCUACGGGAGGCAGCAGUGGGGAAUUUUGGACAAUGGGCGCAAGCCUGAUCCAGCCAUGCCGCGUGUAUGAAGAAGGCCUUCGGGUUGUAAAGUACUUUUGUCAGGGAAGAAAAGCCUGGGGAUAACACCCUCGGGUCAUGACGGUACCUGAAGAAUAAGCACCGGCUAACUACGUGCCAGCAGCCGCGGUAAUACGUANGGUGCGAGCGUUAAUCGGAAUUACUGGGCGUAAAGCGAGCGCAGACGGUUAUUUAAGCAAGAUGUGAAAGCCCCGGGCUCAACCUGGGAAUUGCGUUUUGAACUGGGUAACUAGAGUGUGUCAGAGGGGGGUAGAAUUCCACGUGUAGCAGUGAAAUGCGUAGAGAUGUGGAGGAAUACCGAUGGCGAAGGCAGCCCCCUGGGAUAACACUGACGUUCAUGCUCGAAAGCGUGGGUAGCAAACAGGAUUAGAUACCAUGGUAGUCCACGCCCUAAACGAUGUCAAUUAGCUGUUGGGGUACAUGAUGCCUUAGUAGCGUAGCUAACGCGUGAAAUUGACCGCCUGGGGAGUACGGUCGCAAGAUUAAAACUCAAAGGAAUUGACGGGGACCCGCACAAGCGGUGGAUGAUGUGGAUUAAUUCGAUGCAACGCGAAGAACCUUACCUGGUCUUGACAUGUACGGAAUCUCUUAGAGAUAGGAGAGUGCCUUCGGGAGCCGUAACACAGGUGCUGCAUGGCUGUCGUCAGCUCGUGUCGUGAGAUGUUGGGUUAAGUCCCGCAACGAGCGCAACCCUUGCCAUUAGUUGCCAUCAUUAAGUUGGGCACUCUAAUGGGACUGCCGGUGACAAACCGGAGGAAGGUGGGGAUGACGUCAAGUCCUCAUGGCCCUUAUGACCAGGGCUUCACACGUCAUACAAUGGUCGGUACAGAGGGUAGCCAAGCCGCGAGGUGGAGCCAAUCCCAGAAAACCGAUCGUAGUCCGGAUUGCACUCUGCAACUCGAGUGCAUGAAGUCGGAAUCGCUAGUAAUCGCAGGUCAGCAUACUGCGGUGAAUACGUUCCCGGGUCUUGUACACACCGCCCGUCACACCAUGGGAGUGGGGGAUACCAGAAUUGGGUAGGGUAACCUUCGGGAGCCCGCUUAACACGGUAUGCUUCAUGACUGGGGUGAA
rnacentral:rRNA from 1 species